GGAUGCGAUCAUACCAGCACUAAAGCACCGGAUCCCAUUAGAAUUCCGUAGUUAAGCGUGCUUGGGCGAGAGUAGUACUAGGAUGGGUGACCUCCUGGGAAGUCCUCGUGUUGCUUUCC
rnacentral:rRNA from 1 species